rnacentral:rRNA from 1 species
UACGAAGGGGCUAGCGUUGCUCGGAAUCACUGGGCGUAAAGGGUGCGUAGGCGGGUCUUUAAGUCAGGGGUGAAAUCCUGGAGCUCAACUCCAGAACUGCCUUUGAUACUGAAGAUCUUGAGUUCGGGAGAGGUGAGUGGAACUGCGAGUGUAGAGGUGAAAUGCGUAGAUACUGGGAGGAACACCGGUGGCGAAGGCGGCUACCUGGACCGGUUCUGACACUGAUGCGCGAAAGCGUGGGUAGCAAACAGG